GGGCGGUUAGCUCAGUUGGUUAGAGCGCGUCGUUGACAUCGACGAGGUCGGAGAUUCGAGUUCUCUACCGCCCACCA
rnacentral:tRNA from 1 species